rnacentral:rRNA from 1 species
UGGGGAAUCUUCCGCAAUGGACGAAAGUCUGACGGAGCAACGCCGCGUGAGUGAUGACGGCCUUCGGGUUGUAAAGCUCUGUUAAUCGGGACGAAUGGUUCUUGUGCAAAUAGUGCGAGGAUUUGACGGUACCGGAAUAGAAAGCCACGGCUAACUACGUGCCAGCAGCCGCGGUAAUACGUAGGUGGCAAGCGUUGUCCGGAAUUAUUGGGCGUAAAGCGCGCGCAGGCGGAUUGGUCAGUCUGUCUUAAAAGUUCGGGGCUUAACCCCGUGAUGGGAUGGAAACUGCCAAUCUAGAGUAUCGGAGAGGAAAGUGGAAUUCCUAGUGUAGCGGUGAAAUGCGUAGAUAUUAGGAAGAACACCAAUGGCGAAGGCGACUUUCUGGACGAAAACUGACGCUGAGGCGCGAAAGCCAGGGGAGCGAACGGG